AAAUAUAUGGUCACUCUCACUUCCCAUCCCAACAGACACUGCGUGAUUCUGGAAUUAGUAAAUACAAAUACAUGAAGGGCUCACGGUCACGGAUCACUACACGCUCCUCUUGUUUUUUUAUGGAGUUGUCAAAUCACCAAUCACGCUCCACUUGUUUUCUUUUACUUUUUCUUUAUUAUAAUAAAUAAUUUAAAGACUUAA
rnacentral:lncRNA from 1 species